UACGGAGGGGGCUAGCGUUGUUCGGAAUUACUGGGCGUAAGCGCACGUAGGCGGCUUCGCAAGUCAGGGGUGAAAGCCCGGGGCUCAACCCCGGAACUGCCUUUGAGACUGCGUCGCUUGAAUCCGGGAGAGGCGGGUGGAAUUCCGAGUGUAGAGGUGAAAUUCGUAGAUAUUCGGAAGAACACCAGUGGCGAAGGCGGCCCGCUGGACCGGUAUUGACGCUGAGGUGCGAAAGCGUGGGGAGCAAACAGG
rnacentral:rRNA from 1 species